GGAAGACAGUGCAAUUAAAAGGAAAAAAAAAAGUACCUAGGAUGUUCUGAGAGUUUCAUUUUUCUUGUUAUUGCCACUCCUGCUUGGAA
rnacentral:miRNA from 1 species